AGCUCCUCCUGUUUGUUGCCCAUGCUUCGGUGUAGGUGGACUUCAGGUUGUUGAUCCCGCCACAUUUUUGGGGGGAGAACCCACUAAUUCCUACAUGACCAUUCUCAUGGUGCUUCCAUUGUGUCUAACACAUCAAUAACUCCUGCAUCUUUGCAGCCACACGGAUCUCCAUCUCCCACCUCCACUGAGAUGUCAGACCAAAAGUCCUCACCAGCACACCAUCCCUCAAACACUGGCAUGCUGUCCCCAGGUUUAUCUCCAGCCUCAUGAGGACACAUGAUGUAUUUCAACGAGACAAUACAAAGCAGCACAUAAUUACACAACUCCUUGGAGUAACGGUGAAUUGUAAGAGAGAACUCUUACAAGCAGAGUACGAAGCCCGGAAGAACUGAUGCAGCAAUACCUAAGGAACAGAUGAAAAGCCAUAAACUCUUUCCUGGCCACACAGCUGACAUAAUAAAAUUGUUCUAUUAACA